rnacentral:rRNA from 1 species
AUACGUAGGGGGCAAGCGUUAUCCGGAAUUAUUGGGCGUAAAGCGUGCGUAGGCGGCUUUUUAAGCGUGGGGUUUAAGGCUAUGGCUCAACCAUAGUAUGCCCUGCGAACUGGAAGGCUUGAGUACAGGAGAGGAAAGCGGAAUUCCUAGUGUAGCGGUGAAAUGCGUAGAUAUUAGGAGGAACACCAGUGGCGAAGGCGGCUUUCUGGACUGAAACUGACGCUGAGGUACGAAAGCGUGGGGAGCAAACAGGAUUAGAUACCCUGGUAGUCCACGCUGUAAACGAUGAGCACUAGGUGUCGGGGUCGCAAGACUUCGGUGCCGCAGUUAACGCAAUAAGUGCUCCGCCUGGGGAGUACGUUCGCAAGAAUGAAACUCAAAGGAAUUGACGGGG